rnacentral:rRNA from 1 species
GAUGAACGCUAGCGAUAGGCUUAACACAUGCAAGUCGAGGGGCAGCAUGGUCUUAGCUUGCUAAGACUGAUGGCGACCGGCGCACGGGUGCGUAACGCGUAUGCAACUUGCCUCACAGAGGGGGAUAACCCGUCGAAAGACGGACUAAUACCGCGUACACUUGGGAUAGGGCAUCCUGACCCAAGGAAAUGAAAUUCGCUGUGAGAUAGGCAUGCGUCCCAUUAGCUAGUUGGUGAGGUAACGGCUCACCAAGGCGACGAUGGGUAGGGGAACUGAGAGGUUGAACCCCCACACUGGUACUGAGACACGGACCAGAAUCCUACGGGAGGCAGCAGUGAGGAAGAUUGGGCAAUGGGCGAGAGCCUGAACCAGCCAAGUCGCGUGAAGGAUGACUGUCUUAUGGAUUGUAAACUUCUUUUAUACGGGAAUAACAAGAGCCACGUGUGGCUCCCUGCAUGUACCGUAUGAAUAAGCAUCGGCUAACUCCGUG